ensembl:misc_RNA 7SK 7SK RNA
GCAUAUAAGGGCGACCUGGCUGUGACAUCUGUUACCCUACUGAUCAUCAGGGUUGAUUAGGCUGAUCUGGCGGGCUAGAUAGGUGUCCCCUUCUUCCCUUGCCACUCCAAGCAUGUCCCUGCCAAAGCUGUGUGCUCUAUGGAAGAGGACAGCCACUCCUGAUACAUGAGGACUAUUCCCUUGGGUAUACAAGUAGCCACACUCCCCUGCUAAAACCUCUGAACAAGCUCUCAACUGACAGACCCAUUCUCUAUCUUCACUAAUGUGUGGGCACAAGAAUCUACUUAAGAUUUAUGCACUUUCACGCAGGUAAAUUUGU